UACGGGGGGAGCAAGCGUUGUUCGGAUUUACUGGGCGUAAAGGGCGCGUAGGCGGUCGUGACAAGUCACUUGUGAAAUCUCCGGGCUUAACCCGGAGCGGUCAAGUGAUACUGUCGGACUAGAGUACAGAAGGGGCAACUGGGAAUUCUCGGUGUAGCGGUGAAAUGCGCAGAUAAUCGAGGAGGAACACCAUGCGAAGGCGG
rnacentral:rRNA from 1 species